rnacentral:rRNA from 1 species
CGCGUAGGUGGUUUGUUAAGUUGGAUGUGAAAGCCCCGGGCUCAACCUAGGAAUAGCAUUUCGAACUGGCGAACUAGAGUCUUGUAGAGGGGGUAGAAUUCCAGGUGUAGCGGUGAAAUGCGUAGAGAUCUGGAGGAAUACCGGUGGCGAAGGCGGCCCCCUGGACAAAGACUGACGCUCAUGCACGAAAGCGUGGGGAGCAAACA